rnacentral:tRNA from 3 species
GGGGCCGUAGCUCAGUUGGAAGAGCGCUUGCAUGGCAUGCAAGAGGUCGUCGGUUCGAUCCCGAUCGGCUCCACCA